rnacentral:rRNA from 1 species
CCUACGGGCGGCAGCAGUGAGGAAUAUUGGUCAAUGGGCUUACGCCUGAACCAGCCAAGUCGCGUGAGGGAAGACUGCCCUAUGGGUUGUAAACCUCUUUUGUCAGGGAGCAACGCCGGCUACGUGUAGCCGGACUGAGAGUACCUGAAGAAAAAGCAUCGGCUAACUCCGUGCCAGCAGCCGCGGUAAUACGGAGGAUGCGAGCGUUAUCCGGAUUUAUUGGGUUUAAAGGGUGCGUAGCCGGAAUGCCAAUUCAGCGGUAAAAGCGCGGGGCUCAACCUCGCUCCGCCGUUGAAACUGGCGGGCUGGAGUGGGCGAGAAGUAUGCGGAAUGCGUGGUGUAGCGGUGAAAUGCAUAGAUAUCGCGCAGAACUGCGAUGGCGAAGGCAGCGUACCGGCGCCAAACGGACGCUGAGGCACGAAAGCGUGGGUAUCGAACAGGAUUAGAUACCCGGGUAGUC